UGAUGAUGGUACCAGACAGGGGAUG
rnacentral:piRNA from 1 species